rnacentral:lncRNA from 1 species
UCAUUGUUUUAUAUUUGAUUCUCUGAUGAGAUUAUGGGGAAUCUAUAAACUCUUGGUCCCUUUUGGUAGAGCAUUCCGUUAGCAUGACACUAGUGCUGCAGAAGAGAAUUUGGUUUUGUAGCCUGUGUGGUUGAUUCACUUACUGUGAGUAGAGGAUGAGAGUUUCCAUUAGUAUUCUUCUUCAGUAUUAAUUUUAGAAAAAACUGAUUAUUUUGCAAAGAAAAAAUGGAGCAGUAACUUGUUAAUCUAGGGGAAGAUUAUACAGGACAGUGGUUAUUAGAAAUAAAUUUCCUUUAACAGCAACAGAAAAAUGUUUACUUUAUGACACUUGUCAUUUCUUGAUGGGGUGUGUGUGUGUGUGUGUGUGUGUGUGUGUGUUAUGUUGAGCAGCAAGUAGCUUCAUUAUCUUUCACCACUGGAAGCAGUGAAGAAAAAUAAGUGGCUUUCUGAUGAGGGAAUUAUUUUCAAAAUUUCAAGCCCUCUAAAACUAAAAAGAUUAUUUUUAAUGCCAUAUUAAUAUAAUUGCACAUUUUUUUCCUAAUGUUAAAGUGAUUCUGAUUGUCAAAGAGAACUUUCAAAAAGAUACACUAGUUCAGCGAAGCAGACUAAUAUUUUAGAAAGAAUAUUAGUAAUAAAAAGGACAGAAUUAUGAUAGUUUGAUACAUUAAUUUUAAGAACUUUUUUUCCAUCGCUCUCGAGUCAAGAUGAGAAAACUUAAACAGAAAUGUGGUUCUCAUUUUGAUUGUAUUGAAUUUAUUACCGGAAAUGCUAUCCUCCCUUCCGAUGCAGAGGGCUUUAAGUCCUUUUUGUUUAAAAGAGUGUAGGAGAGGUUAAUUUUCUAUAGCAAUGGAAUUAAAAAUUCUCUUCACCGAAUCAUUCCAGGCAGUGUAAUAAAAAAAAUGCAGUAAUUUGAAUAUAGCCAUCAAGGCAGUAGUUAUUUUAGUUAUAAGUGGUCUUCUGCCUUUUUAAGUAGCAGAUUGUCAGAGAUUAUCUAAUUCUGUUUUAUGAAACAGUUGCUCAUAAAAAUGCUUGUUCCUUGUCCUAUAGCUAUUAUAAAAUUGCUAAGUUCUUUCAUUAACUUUUUUCCUUUAUUACAUAGUACUUUUGUUCCAGUGGUCUGUCACAGAUUUGGGGGGUUCUGCAUUUUAUGAAUGUGUUAUAAACCCAUUCUAAGAAUGUGGUUUACUUUUGCUGCUGUGCCUGCCUAGAAAGUCUUUUCUUGCUUCUCGGCAGACUGUCAGUUAAAUGGUCCGCUUUUUAGAUUUUUAAAUUCUUUGUACCUAUUCCAUGUGCCACUUGGUAUGCCAUUUUGUUUUUACCUUACACUGCCUUUCAAGCCUCCCCAGAGGUGGACUAUCCUUGGAGCCAUCAAAGGGACCCUCAUCGCAUGAACCCCUUGGCAUUUUAUUUACUUAUUUUGUAGCAUGUGGAAGUUCUUGGGCCAGGGAUAGAACCUGCCACAGCAAUGACCCAAGCUGCUGCCGUGACAGCCCUGGAUACCCACUGUGGGUGGCCCUGACAUUUUGCAUACAAAAUGUUGUAGUCUUUUCCUUCUUUUUUCUUUUUUUCUUUUUAUUUUUUUUAGGGCCACACCCUCAGCAUAUGGAAGUUCCCAGGCUAGGGGUCGAAAUGGAGCUGUAGCCACCGGCCUACACCACAGCCACAGCAACGCAGAAUCCGAGCCGUGUCUGCAACCUACACCACAGCUCACAACAACGCCGGAUCGUUAACCCACUGAGCAAGGGCAGGGAUGGAACCAGCAACCUCAUGGUUCCUAGUGGGAUUCGUUAACCACUGCGCCACAACGGGAACUACCUUCUUUCUUUUUUUGAAAUUUAUUUUAGUGAAGUGUAGUUGAUCGUAGUCUUAAAGAAGCCCUGCAAUUAUAUGAACUUAGACCCACACAACCUGCCUUUUCUAAAGUUGAAGACCGUUAGAGGAGAUGCAAAACAAACUACGUGUAGAUUGUUAGCUUUGUGUUUUAGGUUAAAAGGAUACAAAUAGAGUAUGUGAAUGGGUCCGUGUGUGAUGUCAGAUUUAGUUUAUCACGAUAACCAUCCGGAGUGCACCAGAUGUUUUGACUGUAUUUAGCUUCAUAUUGAAUUAAGCACAGCCAGUGGCCUCCAAAGUCCAUCUGUACUGCUGCCAAAGGUAGCUCUGAAGACAGCGCCUUUCCCUUCUGCCCACUGCUAGCUGCUCUUUUCCUCUUGCCACGAUGUUGAGGCUUUUGAAUUGCUCUUGGGAAAGGUGAGUCUCUGUAUCUGAAAUUUGCAUUCAGUUUAUCUGCCUUCUUGAAUGAAGGGGCUUGCCCUUUUCAUUUCAAUAGGUCGUCAUUUUCAAUUUUUGCUUAUCCAUAAACCAGUAGAAAUAAAUCAAAUAAAUCAGAUUAGUUAGGAGCUUAUUGAGGCCUAAAGUCUAGUGAGAGAGGGCAGCCGUUUAUACACAAGUAACAGUUAAACACACGUAUGCCUGAGGUUUCUGUAUGCUUGCUACUAAUCACGGAAAAAAACAAAUUAUUGCUUUUGUUAUAUAAAUAUGUAUUACGAUCUGAAAACCCUUAGUUUUGUUUACACUCAGAAAGACAAGUAUUAAAAUCACUCAAAACCUUUAUAAGGAUUUAAAUGAGUGUACCUUGACUUUUACGUAAUUUCUGCUUCAUCAGCGUAAUCAAAGGAUGCAUGGAUUCUUUCCCCGCGGGAGGGAAGCCGACAGCUGCAGUGCUCGCUCUCAGUGUGAGGAUCGUGAAGAUGGCAGACCUUGCAGAGCAGACAGUUUCCUCCCAUACCUGCUCCCACCCUUCCUAGAAAAAGCAUUUAGACGCCUCUGAAAUGAGACCCGCAAAGCGUGUGCUAAUGCCAGAACAAAUAUCUUGGAAAUUUUAUCAUAAUGUUGCUUUUUAAGGCCCUAAAUGUCCUCUAUUUAAAAUGAAAUUCUUUUGUAUUAACCUCCUUUCAUAUGCUGGCUUUCACCAGCCUGCAGAAUUGCCUGAUUUGACUUUCUAAUGUAACUGUAAUGAAUCUUCUGGGAAGCCAAACGAUUGAACACGCGUACUCUGCGUCUCCAUUGUAAGAUAGUCAGUCCUGUCGAUGUUGCUGAUUAAAAAAAAAAAAAAAAA